AUUGAACGCUGGCGGCAGGCCUAACACAUGCAAGUCGAACGAGUGGCGGACGGGUGAGUAAUGUCUGGGACACUGCCUGAUGGAGGGGGAUAACUACUGGAAACGGUAGCUAAUACCGCAAACCAUCGGAUGUGCCCAGAUGGGAUUAGCUAGUUGGUGGGGUAAAGGCUCACCUAGGCGACGAUCCCUAGCUGGGCUGAGAGGAUGACCAGCCACACUGGCACUGAGACAAGGUCCAGACUCCUACGGGAGGCAGCAGUGGGGAAUAUGGGACAAGGGGCGCAAGCCUGAGGCAGCCAUGCCGGGUGUAUGAAGAAGGCCUUCGGGUUGUAAAGUACUUUCAGCGGGGAGGCGUUACCCGCAGAAGAAGCACCGGCUAACUCCGUGCCAGCAGCCGCGGUAAUAC
rnacentral:rRNA from 1 species